rnacentral:rRNA from 1 species
UGGGGAAUAUUGCGCAAUGGCCGCAAGGCUGACGCAGCGACGCCGCGUGUGGGAGGACGCCCCUCGGGGUGUAAACCACUGUUGCCCGGGACGAAUCCCCCACAUUGGUGGGGUUGACGGUACCGGGUGAGGAAGCACCGGCUAACUCCGUGCCAGCAGCCGCGGUAAUACGGAGGGUGCGAGCGUUGUCCGGAAUCACUGGGCGUAAAGGGCGCGUAGGUGGCCCCUUAAGUGUGUGGUGAAAGCCCGGGGCUCAACCCCGGGUCGGCCAUGCAGACUGGGGGGCUGGAGCACUGUAGAGGCAGGCGGAAUUCCGGGUGUAGCGGUGGAAUGCGUAGAGAUCCGGAAGAACACCGGUGGCGAAGGCGGCCUGCUGGGCAGUUGCUGACACUGAGGCGCGACAGCGUGGGGAGCAAACAG